rnacentral:rRNA from 1 species
CUAAGGCUCCAGAGGAAGCCACGGCUAACUCUGUGCCAGCAGCCGCGGUAAUACAGAGGCGGCAAGCGUUGUUCGGAAUUAUUGGGCGUAAAGAGCACGUAGGCGGCCUUGCAAGUCAGUUGUGAAAGCCUUCCGCUUAACGGAAGGGUGCCAGCUGAUACUACAGGGCUUGAGUACGGGAGGGGAGGGUGGAACUUCUGGUGGAGCGGUGAAAUGCGUAGAUAUCAGAAGGAACGCCGGCGGCGAAAGCGACUCUCUGGCCCGAAACUGACGCUGAGUGUGCGAAAGCUAGGGGAGCAAACGGGAUUAGAUACCCCGGUAGUCCUAGCCGUAAA